rnacentral:tRNA from 3 species
GCUGGCAUAGCUCAGUUGGUAGAGCAGCUGAUUUGUAAUCAGCAGGUCGGGGGUUCAAGUCCCUCUGCCAGCU